rnacentral:tRNA from 1 species
AUUCAUUUAAUAUAAAAAGUAUAUUUAGCUUCCAACUAAAAAGUUCAUAAACUACGGAAUGAAUA